rnacentral:tRNA from 1 species
CGGAGUGUUGUAUAGUGGUAUUACGCACGCUUCGGGUGCGUGUGACCCGGGUUCGAUUCCCGGCACUCCGA